AGGGAAUCUUCCGCAAUGGACGCAAGUCUGACGGAGCAACGCCGCGUGAGUGAUGAAGGUUUUCGGAUCGUAAAGCUCUGUUGCCAGGGAAGAAACUCUCGUAGUUAACUGCUACGAGAUUGACGGUACCUGAGAAGAAAGCCCCGGCUAACUACGUGCCAGCAGCCGCGGUAAUACGUAGGGGGCAAGCGUUGUCCGGAAUUAUUGGGCGUAAAGCGCGCGCAGGCGGCUUUUUAAGUCAGGUGUUUAAGCCUAGGGCUCAACCCUAGUUCGCACCUGAAACUGGGAAGCCUGAGUGCAGUAGAGGAGAGCGGAAUUCCACGUGUAGCGGUGAAAUGCGUAGAGAUGUGGAGGAACACCAGUGGCGAAGGCGGCUCUCUGGCCUGUAACUGACGCUGAGGCGCGAAAGCGUGGGGAGCAAAC
rnacentral:rRNA from 1 species